rnacentral:rRNA from 1 species
GUAGGUGGCAAGCGUUGUCCGGGAAUUAUUGGGGCGUAAAGCGCGCGCAGGCGGUUCUUUAAGUCUGAUGUGAAAGCCCACGGGCUCAACCGUGGAGGGUCAUUGGAAACUGGAGAACUUGAGUACAGAAGAGGAAAGCGGAAUUCCACGUGUAGCGGUGAAAUGCGUAGAGAUGUGGAGGAAUACCAGUGGCGAAGGCGGCUUUCUGGUCUGUAACUGACGCUGAGGCGCGAAAGCGUGGGGAGCAAACAGGAUUAGAUACCCUGGUAGUCCACGCCGUAAACGAUGAGUGCUAAGUGUUAGGGGGUUUCCGCCCCUUAGUGCUGCAGCUAACGCAUUAAGCACUCCGCCUGGGGAGUACGGCCGCAAAGGCUGA